UGGCAACGUUCCUUGGUCAUGGUGAGACAAAUCAGGCCCCGGCCAUACAUCGCCAUAAAGUUAAUGGCUUCCGGCGUAACCCGUUCGGCGGCGAUAAU
rnacentral:antisense_RNA from 1 species